rnacentral:lncRNA from 10 species
CGGCUUCCCCGCCCGGCCGCCGCCAUGAUGAGGAGGUCGGCGCGGCUGUGCUGCGGGCAGGCAGCGGAGAGGGCUCGCGGCGAGGGCUCCAGCUUACCCCGCCGCCGCGUCGCGUGCACGGAGCGCUUCAGAGGUUUGGAGGGGGCCGGAACCUCAAAAGCAACUGGAUGAGCACAACGCGGACGCCCCGGAGAAGCGGCGCAAGCGGGCCCAAAAUGGUUGCUGAUCAGACGAGUGGCAUCUCUCGCCCCCCUACCGCGGGAAUUGGGACCUCCAGACUGUGCCUGGGGGAUCGGCAAGUGGUUCCCCUCUGGUUUUUUCGGCGCUGCCUUCCCGGUGGUUGGAGAUGGCUGGAAGAAAUGAAAAGAAGAACGCCAACAAAGGCGAUAAAGAAAAAUUCAACACUGCUUGAUAACUGAUGAGAUAGUGAAGGAGUAGGAGGGCAAAAGUCAGAAGUAAUUCCAGGUGUUCAAGAACUAAAUGCUGAAGAGAUGUUAGUGUCGUUGACGGUCUUCUAAUGGGAAGUGAAUUUCAAUAGAAAGAGGAUGUGUUUGGUUUCAGACAGACCGAGUGACUGGUGACAACAGGAAAGCCACGUGUUUGGAGCAGAUUACUCGGUACAGUCAGCAGCUGGAAUGGAAGUGAAGAAGGCCCAGCAGAGCAUCAGACCUGAGUGCAAACUAUGGUGGUGUUGGUGGAAUAGAGGGAAGGGAGAGAUUUGAGAGACAUUGGGAAGAAAGGUUUUGGUUUUUGAGACAGAGUCUUGCCCUGUCAUCCAGGCUGGAGUGCAGUGGCAUAAUCUUGGCUUACAGCAAACUCCACCUCCCGGGUUCAAGCAAUUAUCAUGCCUCAGCCCCCUAAGUAGCUGGAAUUACAGGCAAGUGCCACCACAUUCAGCUAAUUUUUGUAUUUUUAGUAGAGACAGGGUUUCACCAUCUUAGCCAGGCUGGUCUCAAACUCCUGACCUCAGGUGAUCCACCUGCCUCGGCCUCCCAAAGUGCCGGGAUUACAGGUGUGAGUCACCAUGCCCAGCCACCAGAAGUUUAAUCAAGGCUCAGAGACUGAUUCCAGUUUGAGUUUUCUAAUAACUGUCUAAUACUUAGCUAAUAGCUUUGGACAGUUGCUCUUUUUAAAAUGAGAUCAUUCAAUCAUUGCAUUCAUCUUUGGGUAUGACUCACUAGUCAACAGAGUCCCCCUUCUGUAGAAACUGCCUCAUUCACAGAGAUGACCUCCACCAGUCAUGCCUAUAUUUGAGACCCUGUCUCUCUUUAUCCCCCAUUGCUGCGUGAUUCAAGGGUGGUCACCUGACCCAGGCAGUGCCAAGUUUAUUCUCUGUCUUGGGAAUUUAGAAUGUUUGUUUGGCUAAGAGACACAGAAACUGGAAGCUGGAGCUGAUGAUGGAGCUGAUCACGCUAAUGAUGGAGCUAUAGAGAUAAGAUGCAUGAACACCACCGAGGUCCCCAAGAUUGCCAUAUUCCUGCAGUGCCUUCUGGCCACAGAUAGUUGGUCCAGAAGCAGGUUCCUGACUCAACCUGGGCCAAUUAGAGCCUUUCACGGAGAUUUUGAAAUCAAAGUUGAGAUCUCUCUUUCUCUCUAUGCCCUUUGGUGUAUGUGUACUUGAGCUACAAGUUACCCAACUUUGGAAGCUGUAGACAGAGGCAAUUUUCCACUAAAUGAAGUGAGAAACAGAAAGUCCAUCAUUAGUGAGAGAGGAGCAAGGCAGAUGCACACAGAGAAGCAGAUAGAGGGGAAGCGGGCGGGAGUGGGGCGGGAGUUCCUGGAGUCCCCACAGUGCUCUAGUUUCUGAUUCUCUUCCUAAGACCCACAGGAUUCCUGCCUUUGGGUUUCUUAAGUUCCUGAAUAGCUCCUGAUUGCCUUUGUCUUUUUUACGAAAGUCCUUUGAGCAUGGUUUCAGGUGAGCAGACAGUCCUAACCUAAAGAGCUGUAACAAAUACACGUGGGCUGUGUGUGAGAUUCGGGGAGAGGCACCAGGGAUCCAGUGUGGGUCAGGCGUGGUGCCGCCCUCAAGGAACUUAGUGGGGAGAAAAUGAAGUCUGUACUUCAAUAACUACAGUGCAGGCUAGGAAGAGAACACCCUUAGAGAUGUGCAAAUCAAGCUCUUUGGGAGUUUAGAGGAGGCCUAGGACUGCUAAGGAAAGGCUGGGACUAGGAAGAGGUAAGCAAGUCACUGAGGAGGCAAAAUUUAAGAAGCCACCCACUCUCAGGGUGUGUGAAUGCAGCGUUGGCACUUGCAUGACCCUGAGAAUGAGCAACCCCUUAAAUGUAUCUUAGGCACCUUGCCAGACUCACUUUUAGCUUGCUGGACUAAUUGUGGGGAUCAGUAGGCCUUCAGAGGAAAGUUAGUGUCUGAGCUGAACUGAAGGAUGGGGUGGUUUUGGACUUGGUGGCAAUGUCAUCUACCUCAAGGUAAAGUAACAAUAUGGAAAACGCUCCCGUGAAAAUUCACAAGGUCUGUUCUAGGAUCAUCAGGCUCUUCGGUGUGACUUAAGAGUUCAGAGCAUGAAGGAGGAGGGGGCAGUAAGAAAAAUGGAGAGAACGUAGCAUCAGAUUCUGCAGGCAAGGAGAAAAUUGCUAAGCUGGGAAAUAACAUAAUCAGAGCGGUACUUAAGAUGAAUCUAACGGAAUAGCAUGAAAUAAAGGAAAGGCUAAGGAGAGGACAAACAGGAGGCUAUUGUGGCAAUCCAGGCGUGAAAGUCUAAACUAAUCAGCACUGGGAAUAGAGAUGCCAUAGGAAAAAUAAUACAUCAUUAAUAUAACUUGGCAAUUGAGUAGAUGUUGGAGACAAGAGAGAAAUCAGAAACACUGCUAAACACUAUGCAGCUAUAACAAAGAAUGAGAGAGCAUUCAGUAAGAUCACAUCCAAGAUAUGUACAUGAAAAACACAAGGGAUAGAACUGUGUAUAUGGCAAGCUAUCACUUGCAUUUUUUAUUUUUUAAAUGGUAUUUAUUUAUUUCUUGUUUUUUCCUUUUUUUAAGACUAAAAAAUCAAUUAUAAAAUCCUCAACCACUUGACUUUUUUUUUAAGUUCCUGGGUACAUGUGCAGGACGUACAGGUUUAUUAUAUAGGUAAACGUGUGCUAUGGUGGUUUGCUGCACCUAUCAACCCAUCACCUAGGUUUAAGCCCCGCAUGCAUUAGCUCUUUUCCCUAGUGCUCUUCCCCCACCAUCCUCCCCUGACAGGCCCCGGUAAGUGUUGUUCCCCUCCCUGUGUUCUCAUUGUUCAGCUCCCACUUAUAAGUGAGAACAUGUAAUGUUUGGUUUUCUAUUCCUGCAUUAGUUUGCUAAGGAUAAUGGCUUCCAGCUCCAUUUAUGUCCCUGUAAAGGACAUGAUCUUGUUUUUUUAUGGCUGCGUAGUAUUCCAUGGUGUAUAUGUACCACAUUUUCUUUAUUCAGUCUAUCAUUGAUGGGCAUUUGGGUUGAUUCCAUGUCUUUGCUAUUGUGAAUAGUGCUGCAAUGAACAUACGUGUACAUGUAUCUUUAUAACAGAGUGAUUUAUAUUCCUUUGGGUAUACACCCUGUAAUGGGAUUGCUGGGUCAAAUGGUAUUUCCAGUUCUAAAUCUUUGAGGAAUCGCCACACUGUCUUCCACAAUGGUUGAACUAAUUUACAUUCCCACGAACAGUGUAAAAGCAUUCCUAUUUCUCUGCAAUCUCACCAGCAUCUGUCAUUUCUUGACUUUUUAAUAAUCGCCAUUCUGACUGGUGUAAGAUGGUAUCUCAUUGUGGUUUUGAUUUGCAUUUCUCUUUUUUUUUUUUUUUUUUUUUGAGACAGUUUCAAAAACUUGUUGCCAAGGCUGGAGUGCAAUGGUGUGAUCUUGGCUCACUACAACCUCUGCCUCCUGGGUUCAAGUGAUUCUUCUGCCUCAGCCUCCCAAGUAGCUAGGAUUACAGGUGUAUGCCACCACGCCCAGCUAAUUUUUGUAUUUUUACUAGAGACGGGGUUUCACUAUGUUGGCCAGGCUGAUCUUGAACUCCUGACCUCAAGAGAUCUGCCCACCUCCGCCUCCCAAAGUGCAGGGAUUACAGGCGUAAGCUUCCACGCCCAGCUGAUGGUAGUUUCUUUUGCUAUGCAUAAGCUCUUUAGUUUAAUUAGAUCCCAUUUGUUGAAUUUUGCUUUUGUUGCGAUUGUUUUUGGCAAUUUUAUCAUAAAAUCUUUGCCCAUUCCUAUGUCCUGAAUGGUAUUGUCUAGAUUUUCUUCUAGGGUUUUUGUAGUUUGGGGUUUUACAUUUAAGGCUUUAAUCCAUCUUGAGUUAAUUUUUGUAUAAAGGUGUAAGGAAAGGAUCGAGUUUCAGUUUUCUGCAUAUGGCUAGCCAGUUCUCCCAUCACCAUUUAUUAAACAGGAAAUCCUUUCCCCAUUGCUUGUUUUGGUUUGUCAAAGAUCAGAUGGUUGUAGAUGUGCGAUUUUAUAUGUGCUGCCAAAGUGAGCACUAUUUAUUUAUUUUUUUAAACAGAGUCUCACUGUGUUGCCCAGGCUGGAGUGCAGUGGCAUGAACAUAGCUCACGUAGCCUUAUUUGCAUUUGUAAAAGGGAAAUAUGUUUUGUUUUGUUUUUUGAGA